rnacentral:misc_RNA from 1 species
AGAUUCAACUGAGCGUUUAUUUUUCCGGGCUCAGUCGUUCUCUAAAGUCCGGUUGAGCAUCAUGUUUUGGAGGAUCGCACUUUUGAUUUUUGUGUUUGCCAUUAUUCUGCAUGCUGACAGAGCAGAGGACGAACAAUCGUCGGAAGGUUUCGAAACUGCCUCGGCUAUGAAUCAACUUUUUAAAGUUCCCAAAAGGUGUCCAACCUGGGAAGUACUCCACAAAGGUCGAUGUUUGCCAAUACAUAAAGCAGAUGGCACAAAAAAAUAUAUGACGGACUGCUAAGUACAAUAUACAAAAUCACAAAAACAAAAAAAAAGUUGUUACAAAACUAGAAAUAUUCUACUGCUGAUAAGAAGAGUCAACAUUUUUGAAAAGAUUGGAAGUUGCGGAAGUCGACGGAAAAUCGUCAUCGGAGAGCGUCGAAAGCAGUUCUGCCAUGAACCGAGUGUUUGCAUCCGCAACCUGGUGUCCUCCCUGGCAGGCGCUAGUGCGGGGACGAUGUCGAGCGGUUCUAAAGUCGGGUUAGGAUCGAUGAAUUGCAUGUUCCUCAAAUACAUGGACUGAUUCAAUCAGAAAAAUAAGAGGAUGUAGGUUUAUUAUACUUAGUUUGAAAACUUGUUAAACCUUUAACCUCGCAUAAGACCUGAUAUUUUAACUUAUCGUGAUAAUAAAAAAAUGUAAAUUUAAUAAUUUAAACAUA